rnacentral:rRNA from 1 species
AUUGAACGCUGGCGGCAUGCUUUACACAUGCAAGUCGAACGGCAGCGGGGGCUUCGGCCCGCCGGCGAGUGGCGAACGGGUGAGUAAUGCAUCGGAACGUGCCCAGUCGUGGGGGAUAACACAUCGAAAGAUGUGCUAAUACCGCAUACGUCCUGAGGGAGAAAGCGGGGGAUCUUCGGACCUCGCGCGAUUGGAGCGGCCGAUGUCGGAUUAGCUAGUUGGUGGGGUAAAAGCCCACCAAGGCGACGAUCCGUAGCGGGUCUGAGAGGAUGAUCCGCCACACUGGGACUGAGACACGGCCCAGACUCCUACGGGAGGCAGCAGUGGGGAAUUUUGGACAAUGGGGGCAACCCUGAUCCAGCCAUGCCGCGUGAACGAUGAAGGUCUUCGGAUUGUAAAGUUCUGUGAUUGGGGAAGAAUGGUAUUCUUAGGGAAUGAGGAGUACAUGACGGUACCCGAUUAGAAAGCCCCGGCUAACUAUGUGCCAGCAGCCGCGG